UACGGAGGGUGCGAGCGUUGUCCGGAAUCACUGGGCGUAAAGGGCGCGUAGGCGGCGCGGGUAGCCAUCGGUGAAAGUUCAGGGCUCAACUCUGAAUCGGCCGGUGAUACUCCCGUGCUCGAGCACUGUAGAGGCAGGUGGAAUUCCGGGUGUAGCGGUGGAAUGCGUAGAGAUCCGGAAGAACACCGGUGGCGAAGGCGGCCUGCUGGGCAGUAGCUGACGCUGAUGCGCGACAGCGUGGGGAGCAAACAGG
rnacentral:rRNA from 1 species